rnacentral:rRNA from 1 species
AUUCUCAGUUCGGAUUGUAGGCUGAAACUCGCCUACAUGAAGCUGGAGUUACUAGUAAUCGCAGAUCAGAAUGCUGCGGUGAGUGCGUUCCCGGGUCUUGUACACACCGCCCGUCACACCACGGAAGUUGGGGGCGCCCGAAGCCACUUAGCUAACCCUUUUGGGAAGCGAGUGUCGAAGGUGAAAUCAAUAACUGGGGUGAAGUCGUAACAAGGUACC